rnacentral:rRNA from 1 species
ACAUGCAAGUCGAGCGGUAGAGAGAAGCUUGCUUCUCUUGAGAGCGGCGGACGGGUGAGUAAUGCCUAGGAAUCUGCCUGGUAGUGGGGGAUAACGUUCGGAAACGGACGCUAAUACCGCAUACGUCCUACGGGAGAAAGCAGGGGACCUUCGGGCCUUGCGCUAUCAGAUGAGCCUAGGUCGGAUUAGCUAGUUGGUGAGGUAAUGGCUCACCAAGGCGACGAUCCGUAACUGGUCUGAGAGGAUGAUCAGUCACACUGGAACUGAGACACGGUCCAGACUCCUACGGGAGGCAGCAGUGGGGAAUAUUGGACAAUGGGCGAAAGCCUGAUCCAGCCAUGCCGCGUGUGUGAAGAAGGUCUUCGGAUUGUAAAGCACUUUAAGUUGGGAGGAAGGGUUGUAGAUUAAUACUCUGCAAUUUUGACGUUACCGACAGAAUAAGCACCGGCUAACUCUGUGCCAGCAGCCGCGGUAAUACAGAGGGUGCAAGCGUUAAUCGGAAUUACUGGGCGUAAAGCGCGCGUAGGUGGUUUGUUAAGUUGGAUGUGAAAUCCCCGGGCUCAACCUGGGAACUGCAUUCAAAACUGACUGACUAGAGUAUGGUAGAGGGUGGUGGAAU